rnacentral:rRNA from 1 species
AUUGAACGCUGGCGGCAGGCCUAACACAUGCAAGUCGAGCGGAUGAAGGGAGCUUGCUCCUGGAUUCAGCGGCGGACGGGUGAGUAAUGCCUGGGAAUCUGCCUGGUAGUGGGGGAUAACGUCCGGAAACGGGCGCUAAUACCGCAUACGUCCUGAGGGAGAAAGUGGGGGAUCUUCGGACCUCACGCUAUCAGAUGAGCCUAGGUCGGAUUAGCUAGUUGGUGGGGUAAAGGCCUACCAAGGCGACGAUCCGUAACUGGUCUGAGAGGAUGAUCAGUCACACUGGAACUGAGACACGGUCCAGACUCCUACGGGAGGCAGCAGUGGGGAAUAUUGGGCAAUGGGCGAAAGCCUGAUCCAGCCAUGCCGCGUGUGUGAAGAAGGUCUUCGGAUUGUAAAGCACUUUAAGUUGGGAGGAAGGGCAGUAAGUUAAUACCUUGCUGUUUUGACGUUACCAACAGAAUAAGCACCGGCUAACUUCGUG